rnacentral:ribozyme from 1 species
AGCACGGCAACUCCUUUCCCUACCUCCUCGCGGUACUGGCUGGGGUAUGAGUAACCUCAGGGAAGAUCGAGUAACCAACCCCCGGUGGGAACUUUGGUCGUAUGCUGACAAGGAAGG